AAGAGAUUAGUUGAUUUAAACAACACCAAUAUGUCAUGUUGGAAGAACCCCCCGAGGUAUCUUUUG
rnacentral:tRNA from 1 species